rfam:Oryza nivara chromosome 9, whole genome shotgun sequence.
AAAAAAAAAAACCCUGGAUUUCCGUGUACAAUGUUUGAUUGUUCGUCUUAUAUGAAAUUUUUUUAUAAUUACUAUUUUUAUUGUUGUUAGAUGAUAAAACAUGUCCGUGACUUGUUUUUUUAAUUUUUUUUCAUAAUUUUUUUAAAUAUAAGACGGAUGGUCAAAUGUUGGACAUGGAAAUUAAGGGUUUGUCUUUUU